rnacentral:rRNA from 1 species
UACAGAGGUCUCAAGCGUUGUUCGGAAUUACUGGGCGUAAAGGGUGCGCAGGCCGCGCGGGCAGUCAAAUGUGUAAUUCAGGGGCUCAACCCCUGCACUGCGCUUGAUACUUCCGCGCUCGAGCUUUGGAGAGGAGUCUGGAAUUCUCGGUGUAGCAGUGAAAUGCGUAGAUAUGCGGAGGAACACCGAUGGCGAAGGCAAUCCCCUGGGCCUGCACUGACGCUCAUGCACGAAAGCGUGGGGAGCAAACAGG